UACGUAGGGUGCAAGCGUUAAUCGGAAUUACUGGGCGUAAAGCGUGCGCAGGCGGUUUUGUAAGUCAGAUGUGAAAUCCCCGGGCUCAACCUGGGAAUGGCAGUGGAUACUGGCAAGCUAGAGUGCGGUAGAGGGUAGUGGAAUUCCCGGUGUAGCAGUGAAAUGCGUAGAGAUCGGGAGGAACACCAGUGGCGAAGGCGGCUACCUGGACCAGCACUGACACUGAAGCACGAAGGCGUGGGGAGCAAACAGG
rnacentral:rRNA from 1 species